ACGUAGGUGGCGAGCGUUAUCCGGAAUGAUUGGGCGUAAAGGGUGCGCAGGCGGCAUAUCAAGUCUGAAGUGAAAGGUACGGGCUCAACCUGUACAGGCUUUGGAAACUGGUAUGCUCGAGGACAGGAGAGGGCGGUGGAACUCCACGUGUAGCGGUAAAAUGCGUAGAGAUGUGGAAGAACACCAGUGGCGAAGGCGGCCGCCUGGCCUGUAACUGACGCUCAGGCACGAAAGCGUGGGGAGCAAAUAGGAUUAGAUACCCUAGUAGUCCACGCCCUAAACGAUGAGGAGCAGGUGUCGGGGGUAGUACCUCGGUGCCGAAGCUAACGCAAUGACUCCUCCGCCUGGGGAGUAUGCACGCAAGUGUG
rnacentral:rRNA from 1 species